ACUCCGGUGGUGUGAGAUGGGCCCGCGUCUGAUUAGGUAGUUGGUGAGGUAACGGCUCACCAAGCCGACGAUCAGUAGCCGACCUGAGAGGGUGACCGGCCACAUUGGGACUGAGACACGGCCCAAACUCCUACGGGAGGCAGCAGUGGGGAAUAUUGCACAAUGGGGGAAACCCUGAUGCAGCGACGCCGCGUGGAGGAAGAAGGUCUUCGGAUUGUAAACUCCUGUUGUUGGGGAAAAGAAGGAUGGUACCCAACAAGGAAGUGACGGCUAACUACGUGCCAGCAGCCGCGGUAAAACGUAGGUCACGAGCGUUGUCCGGAAUUACUGGGUGUAAAGGGAGCGCAGGCGGGUAUGCAAGUUGGGAGUGAAAUACAUGGGCUCAACCCAUGAACUGCUCUCAAAACUGUGUAUCUUGAGUAGUGCAGAGGUAGGCGGAAUUCCCGGUGUAGCGGUGGAAUGCGUAGAUAUCGGGAGGAACACCAGUGGCGAAGGCGGCCUACUGGGCACCAACUGACGCUGAGGCUCGAAAGUGUGGGUAGCAAACAGGAUUAGAUACCCUGGUAGUCCACACCGUAAACGAUGAUUACUAGGUGUUGGAGGAUAGACCCCUUCAGUGCCGCAGU
rnacentral:rRNA from 1 species